UACAGAGGUCUCAAGCGUUGUUCGGAUUCAUUGGGCUUAAAGGGUGCGUAGGCGGUGCGGUAAGUCGGGUGUGAAAUCUCGGAGCUUAACUCCGAAACUGCAUUCGAUACUGCCGUGCUUGAGGACUGGAGAGGAGACUGGAAUUUACGGUGUAGCGGUGAAAUGCGUAGAUAUCGUGAGGAACACCAGAGGCGAAGGCGGCUACCUGGACAAUUGCUGACGCUCAGGCACGAAAGCGUGGGGAGCAAAGGG
rnacentral:rRNA from 1 species